rnacentral:rRNA from 1 species
UACGUAGGCAGCAAGCGUUGUUCGGAGUUACUGGGCGUAAAGAGUGCGUAGGCGGUGCCCUAAGUCUGUUGUGAAAUCUCCCGGCUUAACUGGGAGGGUGCGGUGGAAACUGGGGUGCUUGAGUGUGGGAGAGGUUGGCGGAAUUCCUGGUGUAGCGGUGAAAUGCGUAGAUAUCAGGAGGAACACCGGUGGUGUAGACGGCUAACUGGACCACGACUGACGCUGAGGCACGAAAGCGUGGGUAGCAAACAGG